CACAGAGUUUGAAACCAAAGCACUGGAGAUGUUUACAUAAAGAAUUGUUACUACACAGAGAGGUUAGUUAAUGUCUUGGAGCAGCUAUGAAAUGUUGGGGGUCAAAGGAUCCAUCCCUACGAGAGAUAAUAUGUUUUUCCCUGUGUUGCUGUGGAGCAACAUUUGCAUUGCAGGUUGUGUUCAACCUCCUUAUCCCAGACCACAUUGCUGAUGCCUUCUCCCCACCACGAGUCCCACCUUCAGGAUAAGGAAAUCAACUAACAGAACUGCUCCUGGGGGGUGUCUUGGAAGAUGGGAUGCGGAACAUUUUCUCUUCAUAGCAGAGCAUGGCUACAUUUUUGAGCACAAUAUGGCUAUCUUUAUGACUGCAGCCUAUUCAGAGAGUCUGUUUGCACUGGCCACCUUUGCUGGAGUCUGGCAAUUAGAAAAGUGUAGCACUUUCCGAGGCUGCUCUCUGUUUUUACUUGCUACUGCUGCUCGUGACAAUGGACUAGUCAAUGCUGGUUUCUUGCUGUACUUUGGGGCCCAAUCUGUCAUACAAGGAACAAUGAGUUGUCAGAAAAUGUAUAAAAUUCGGAUAGCAACUGCUGUAAUAAUUCUACCUCUUGCUUUAUUCCAGUAUUAUAGUUUCCAUCAUUUCUGCCUGGUAUCUGCUAUAGCUGGAACUGUGACCCCAGAGCUGAUGCAGCUUGCAAUAGAGAAAGGAUAUCGUGUGCGUGGCCCACCAGUCCCAGCAUGGUGUGUGGCCAGCCUACCAAUGGCUUAAUUCAAACAUACAAAGUGAUUACUGGGAUGUUGGAUUUUUUUGCUAUUUUCAACUGCGUCAGCUACCAAAUUUUCUUUUGGCAUUACCAGUGAUCUUGCUAGCUACUCGGGUAAUAUGGGAGUAUGUCUGUGCAAAUGUAAAUCUAUGCAUGACUCUGGGGCUCUUGGGAAAGCGACAAAUGUCCUCCAGUGGAUAUUAUGGACCUCGGAUAUUUGUUUACGUGGCACAUCUUACUGCUCUAAUGAUGUUAGUAGUAUUCUGUAUGCAUGUGCAGGUAAUGGAGUGCAAUUUACUGCUGCAAUAUGUCAGAGUAAUACGAUACCUAAAAUGUAUAGACGUUGAAAUGUGUUAAUGGGGGGGUUUGGAGAGAUUUGUUUUUAUUGUACAGGCUUGUACAUAAUAUGGUAGAUUAAAUGGGCAACCACCAAUGAAUCCUUUAUGAGUUAAAAAUUUAUUCAUUUCGAAUUUCAACUUUUUUUUUUUAUAAAAUUUUUAAAUAUCUUACUUUUUUGGGGUUUUUUUUCUUCUUCUUUUUAAAUGCAUCAUUUUUGGUCUGCCUCUUUCGAAAAAUGUGUCUUUUUAUGUUCACUUUUCUAAGAAACCAUAACAUAUUUAAAAAAACAGGCUGGAUUUCUUAUUUUUAGUCUAAAGCAGCUAGACUUAUCCAAUUGGCUCAUUUAUUUUAAAGGGGUUGUUCACAUUUAAAUGACCUUUGAGUCUGAUGUAGAGCACUAGCACAAUGCAGUGAGAUGGGCCUCAAAACGAUGCUGAUGUUGCUAGCUGUAUGCAGGGCUCAGUAUUAAACCUUACAUAUACUCAAUGUUCCCUUUAAUUCUUUCUUGGCAAUGUUUGGAAUAAGAUGUACUUACAUUUUACACGUGUGCAUUUUAAAACACUGUGUGCUCAGGUCAGAAUAAAUAGAUGUUCUAUUUCCUAA